UUAAAAUCCCACAGCAUGUUCUCAGUCUAAUCUCCUUUUAUCUCCGCAACCCGAUUUCAGCAAUUGUGUUUAUCACUUAAAUGCCUCCUCUUGUUCAUAACUUUGAUGAUUCUCACAUGGGCUAUAGACUGCUGUUUACUCUAAUUGUAUUCUUAUUAACAUUCCCAUUUUAAAUGACUAAAAAUAAGACUUUGACCUUCCAAAGUGAAUGACUGCUUACUGCCCUUCCUUGGGGAGAAAUUAACUUUGGAAAUAUCUGCAAAGUAUGUACAUGGUUAUAUGUCCAUUCAUUUUCCUUCUUAUUUGCUUCUUUAAGGUGGAGUCUCCUAUUUAUUUUCUGGAAGAGACGUGGGGACAAAGGAUCACUGGGCCCCAAAGAAAAUGUGAGAAGAUCAUAUUGACAAACUGAAAACGUUUCUGAAGAUAAGAAACAGGUGUAAGAGAGCUGCUCAAGUGACUGACAGACCUGCAGUAGGAAGUAGAACUGCCUUGCCCUCUGAAGCUUGAAGCAGAGGUACCUGGCCAAACCCAGAUCAGCCAAAUUUAAAUCAACCUCAGACACAUAUUUUAGAAGCCAUGAUUGAAGACUGAGUUGUAACCCUGUUAACCACUGCAAGCAAGAUUCUGAUACCCAUUAUGGAUAUCAUCCUUUUCAGAACAAUUUAGUGAUCUGUAACAGGUACUAUGAAUUCUUCAUACGUCUUCAUCAAGUGAUACUACAUCGAGAAAUGUGGUCUGUGAACAUGGAGAAUAAAUAAACACUUAUACACAAAUAUUUGGAGACACCCUAAAUUAACAACUUUAAAGAAAUAGAUAAAUUAUGAUACAUUUAUAUGUUACUUUUGGGUCUUCCAUGGACAAGAUAAAUAGAAAAAUGGGCAAUGUAUAUGUGUACAGGGGAGAACAUUUGUUAUUUUGAGAGUUGAGCACUUUGUUCUUAACAGGAUAGAAACUGUUUCCAGAUAGAAGAGAAGUAGCAAGCUCAUAUGCCUAAAGGAAGCAGACAAGUGACAUAAAUGAGUGAAAUGAUCCCUGUAUAAGAGAUAACAUGGAAGAGUGAUAGUGGGGGCAUCUGUGGCAUACUGAAGAGCACUUGCCAAUCUAUACAGACAACCAAAACUCAGCUCCAGCUCAGUUGUAUCUGAGAAUGUGCACCCAUUGUUGCCAUUUCUUCUGAUUUUUUUCUAAAGGAGCUUACCGCCUGGAUUUUGCUAUACUUUUUCUGUCAUCAUAGUCAAUAGUCUAAAGGGCCAUUUCAUAUUAACCCAAGGGAUGCCAGAGGGUUUGUUUUUUGUUUUUUCUUUGCAUCUGGCUUAGAGGUCAAAAUAAAUUAAGAUCCCUUAGUGACUGUGGUUUUUGGGAACAAGGAAGCUCUCCAGAGAUAGCCCGGAUAGGCUAAAAAUAAUUUCCAAAGAAUGGCUAGACAAACUAUUCAGCAAAAAAGGGUGGAGGAAAAGUAGACAAAUGGAAAGAGGAGAGGGAAUAGGAAGUGAAGUAACACAACAGUAGGUGAAGUAAGGACUUAUAAGAACAUGGAUUUCUAAAUAUCCAAUUCACUAAGAUUGCUGUGAACCCUCGGUAAACUAUGCCAUGCAUAUAAAUACCUUGGAUGAUGGUAUUUUGAGAAAAUCAAAGGACAAUAGCUAUUUGCACAUUCCCCUUUGUUGGUGCAGGCAAGGAAGAAAAGAAUCACUCUAGGAGUUGAGAGAUGAGUGAGUUUCAAGGCUUUAAGGAAAUAAGAAAUUGAAAAGAGAGGUACCAUAAAAUAUGUAAUAUCACUUUUCUAAGAAGUGAUAGAAAAUAUAGCUAGGGUAUUGUACACCCUAUAAGACAGAAAUUAUUGAGCGUAUUAAGGUAACCCUACCUGCUAUCUCAAGAUAUCAGUGAUUUAAAGCAAUAGAAAUUUAUUUCUAUGUCAUAUUAGAGUUCAAUGGGUGGCAAGUGACAAGGUAUGAACUCUGCUCCACACAGUUAUUUAAGUUCCCAGGCUGAUAAAGGGUACAUCACACGGGUUCCAAGGUCAACCUGGACUAUCAGCUAGCUCUUGGUAGGAGAGAGAGAAAGAGUGGAUAACCAUGCAAGAUAUUUCUAUGUUCAACAUUCUGUUAGCCAUAACUCAGUCAUAUAUGGCCACACCUAAUUGUAAGAAAGGCUAGGAAUUGUGAUCUAGAUGUAUGUCCAGGAGGAAAGGAGAACUAUGUUCUCUGACUUAGCGGGGUCAAGCCAAAUUUACUUAAAUCUCAAUGAACCAGGUAACAUGUGGAGGUGGGAUGGAUGGAUGGACGGAUGGAUGGAUGGAUGGAUGGAUGGAAUAAAGAUAAAAUCCAUAGACUGAUGUAGGGGGAAAGAAAGAUAAAAAAGAGAUAAUUCUCAAAUAUUUGUGUGUUUGUAUGUGUCCAGACUUGGGAGGGGAACACAUAUAUUCAGAUACAGAUGAGCACUUUGUAUUACUUGCUCCUUCUUAGUCUUCUCCCGGAACCCCUGUGAUGUUGCCAUAGUCCACAUGAUCCUGUCUCCCAAGACAAGGACUGACUAAACUGGAGUAGACACCUUACCCAAACUAGUACAAUCAGAGCCCCAUUCAAGAGAGUUGGAACUGAGGCAGAGGAGGUGUAGCUCUGUUCUUGAACUAGGAAGUCAUAUCAGAGGCUGCCAGUUGUCCACCAGUCUCUUUUGUCCAUAGCAACACAGUUGUGGCUGGACACAUUUAAGACCAGCUAGAUCUGACAUUCCCAAGCCUCUCGCAGCUAGCUACAAUUAUCUGGUUUAUUUCAAGUCAAAGGACUAUGAAUGGAAGUCACACAUGUAACAUCUGGAUUGUCUCCUAAAGGUAAACCAUUUCUCCUGAACUAGCGCUUUUCACCCCCUCCCAUGAAUUGUAACUUGGGCAUGCCUUUGAACCAGCUUCAUCCAGACAAACUGGGCAAUGCUCUAGGGAGUGACAGAGCAAAAAAAAUAUGUAAGGAAUCUAGAUCUCAGAAUAACUGCAGGGAGUAGGCCUGUCUUAUCAACCUGGAGUGAGAUAACUUCUUUGAGUAAACUUCUUUUGAAACCACUGCAUUUUGAGGGUUCUUUGUUGCCUUUUCUGAAACCUAUACAAAGGCCAUGUAAAGCCAGAACUGGGGUAGCCACAUGCAUGGCCAAAGUUGAGAAAGCCAGUCUUCAAGAGCAGAAAAUCACCAAAAGGAAAUAAAGAUUGGAAAUACAUUCUGCCUUCGAGAAAUGAAGAGAUAAGUUGUUACUGCUGUCAGUUCAGUUACUGGUUACAUUCUUUCUUAACGUUCCUGAGUUUCAUAAAUAUGCUUUCAAUAAAUGUCCAUUUUUUAUUAAGAGAGUUUGGAUUUCCAUUGCUUAUAGCUCCAAAAACCUCUAAGAUGGCAAGAGAGCAAGAAUGAAAGCAAGAAAUACACGAAAAUGUCAAAAGUAGUCAUGUUUAUGGGGUAGAUAUGCAAGUGAUAUGAUUUGACUCUGUGUACCCACUCAAAUCUCAUGUUGAAUUAUAAUCCUCAAUAUUGGGGGAGGGACCUCAUAGAAGGUGAUUGGAUCAUGGGAGUGGAUUUCUCUCUUACUGUUCUCAUGAUAGUGAGUUCUCAUGAGAUCUGGUUGUUUAAAAGUGUGUAACACUUCCCCCUUCACUCUUUCUCUCCUGCUGCCAUGUGAAGAUGUGCUUACUUUCCCUUUGCCCUUCUACCAUGGUUGCAAUUUUUCUGAGGCCUCCUAGCCAUGCUUCCUGCACAGCCUGUGGAAUUGUGAGUCAAUUAAACCUGUUUUCUUUAUAAAUUGCCCAGUCUCCGGUAAUUCUUUUUUUUUUUUUUUUUUUUUUUUUGAGACAGAGUCUCACUCUUUUGCCCAGGCUGGAGUGCAGUGGUGCGAUCUCGGCUCACUGCAACCUCUGCCUCCUGGGUUUAAACUAUUCUCGUGCCUCAGCCUCCUGAGUAGCUGGGACUACAGGCGUGUGCCCCCAUGCCUGGCUAAUAUUUUGCAUUUUUUGUAGAGACGGGGUUUCACCAUGUUAACCAGGUUGGUCUCCAUCUCCUGACCUCGUGAUCCGCCUGCUUCAGCCUCCCGAAGUGCUGGUAUUACAGGCGUGAGCCACUGCACCCAGCCAUCUCAGGGAACAACUUCGGCCCUGCUGGAAGCCUUGUCAUUGACAAAGGGACCAAAGAUGUUUACUCUCUUUUGAUUCUCUCUUACAGUGGAGCACCUGGGAAUCUGGUUUAUCUCUGUAACCCCGGGCAUACAAAAGGCAGCUGGUCGGGGAAUAAGCUUUGUAUUCUAGGAUGGAGUGUAUGAGCAGAAAGCAAGGAAUUCCCUUCUUCCUGUAAAUCUGUUAAGCUUGUAAAUAAUAGGGGAUAUGAAGAAGGCUUUCAAACCUAAUAUCACCAACCUGAAAUUUUUGGCAACUCUUAGCCGGUGCCUCUAUUGAUCCCUUUAAAACUCUUCACUGUUUUAUCUUGUUAGGAAGUGUAAGAUGUAGAUGAAGCAGUGUAUAAAGUCUAGAUGGUAGAACUAUGGUUUUAGAAGAUGUCUCCGUCUAUUUGUGGUAUGCAGAAUACCAAACAGGUUCAUUUCCUAAUCCUCAGAACCUGUGAAUAUUUUUAAUUACAUGGCAAAAGAGAAUCAAGGUAGCUGAUAGAAUUAAAACUGCUGAUGGGACUAGGGUUUCUAAUCAGCUAACCUUGAAAUAGGCAGAUUAUCAUGGAUUAUCCAGGUGGACCCAAUGUAAUCACAGGAGUCCUUAUAAGUAGAAAAGGGACGCAGAAGAGUCAGAGAAGAUGUGAUGAUGGAAGCACAGUCAGACGGAAUGGAUGCAAUGUAAAGACCCACCUGCCAUUGCUUGCUUUGAAGAUGGAAAAAGGGAGCCAUGAGCCAAGGAAUGGUGCAGUCUUGAGUAGCUAGAAAAGGCAAGAAAACAGAUUCUCUCCUGGAGCCUCCAGAAAGGAGUGCAGUCCUGUUGACAUCUUAAUUUAGCACAGUGAGAGUGGUGUUGGGUUUCUAACCUGUAGAACUUGGGUAAUAAAUUUGUGUUAAUUUAAGCCACUAAUUUGGGGUAAUUUUUUGGCAAUGAUAAAAAACAAUACACUACUAAUGUGAGAAAUCUGCCUGUAAACAUGGGUAGAUGAGAAAGCAAAAAUUAAAAGGUGACUGAGGUAAAAGAAUAUCUAUCUGCCUGUAUGGUUCAAACAGACCUCUGGGGAGGUUUCCCAAAAGUGAUUAGAGGGAGUUGCAAUUAGUGAUUGGGUAUAGAAGGAAAGUGACUAAUAUAAUAUGAGGGGAGGACACUGAGAGAUGUUCCACAGUGUUAACACACUUCCUGGCAGACUAAUCAGCUCUUGAAACACCUAAAAACCUUUAAUAACCAUGUAUGACAGAGGAGUAUAUAGGUUUUUGUAGUCUGGGGAAAAAUCCGACCUCUAUAUAUUGACACAUAGAAACAAAAUUACAAAAUCAUGUUAAAUGAAUUUUAGAAAGGAAAGUAGUCUUGCAAACUAUACAUCCAAUUCUCAUUUUAUACACAAAAAGAAACUGAGGUUCAGUGAGGUAUAAUGGUUUGCUGAUAUUAGUUUAUGUCACAGCUAAUACACGAACUCAGUUCUCCAAAUUAGUAGAUUUGCCUAAAAAGUGUAGGAUCUGGUUACAACUCCAUAAUUAUUCUAUUUCCUAAUAAACUAAAAAUAAACUGUAGGACCAAAAUCAUUGUCUCUGGUUAGUGAGAAAAAAUAAAUUAAAGCCCUGGCCAAAAUGGGAUAUUAAUGUUGGAUGGGAAGAAGGAGACAUGCUGAGCUUGAGAGGCACUAUAUGUCCUUGGGAGAAAAGCAACUUCUUCAGAGCUGUGGUAGCUAAGCACCAGGAAAUUUCCAAGUAAUUGUCCCAAACAGGCCCUUCAUCUACCCACAUUUUGUGAAUGGGAGGAGUCCCUUCGAGAUCCUCAAACUAGUCUUGUUCCUUCAGUGGGUAUGACAGCCCAGUUGGUCUCGGCCGACCUCAGUAAUAAUGACCAAGGAUAGUAAUGAUAGCUGCUAGCAUUAUUGAGCACUUGCUGUGUGCACUGCCACGUACAAUUCCAAGUGCUUCACAUGUAUUAUCUCACUUAAUCCUUGCAGUAACCCUGAAAAUUUUUAUCCCCAUUUCAUAAGCAAGAUAACUGAAGCACAGAAAGGUUUAGUAACUUGUCAACAGUUAUUCAGCUACUAAGUGGUAGAGCCAGAAUCUGAGCCCAGAUAGCCUGACUCCAGAGCUAAGCUGUAGACAGGCUCUGGCUUCCCUCUUGCUUUAGACAAUGGACUACACGGGGGCAAGAAUUAGGUCUUGCUCAUCUAUGCAGUUUCAGUGACUGGUAACAUUUCAGCACAAAUAGGGCAGAAUAGCACAGAGGUCAGAGACUGGACUGUGGGGGUCAGUCAUUCCAGGUUUUAAAAAACGGCACCAGCACUCGGUAUGACCUUGGGUAAGUUACUUACCUUCUCUCAAUUUCAGAUUGUUUACCUUAAAAAGGAAAAAGCAUAAUAAAAAGAGACAUCUUUAUUAUUUAUUAUCUAUCGCAUCAGGCUGUUGUGAAGAUUAAUGCUAUAACACAUUUCAGGCUUAGCCUAGCAUUGUAUUUGAUAAAUAAUAAACGAGACUCCAUACAACAGGAAGUUAUUUUUGUCAUCUUUCUUUGCUUUUCAAAAUUAUUUUUUAAAUGUUCCAAAAACCUAAAUGUCUCCCAAG
rnacentral:lncRNA from 10 species